CAGACGAUUGUGUGGCUUUAAAUUCUACUACAGAUCUAAUCAUUUUAAAUCUUGCUUCUCUGAUAGUUAGCGGCGGACGGGUGAGUAACACGUAGGCAACCUGCCCUCAAGCUUGGGACAACUACCGGAAACGGUAGCUAAUACCGAAUACUUGUUUUCUUCGCCUGAAGGGAACUGGAAAGACGGAGCAAUCUGUCACUUGAGGAUGGGCCUGCGGCGCAUUAGCUAGUUGGUGAGGUAACGGCUCACCAAGGCGACGAUGCGUAGCCGACCUGAGAGGGUGAUCGGCCACACUGGGACUGAGACACGGCCCAGACUCCUACGGGAGGCAGCAGUAGGGAAUCUUCCGCAAUGGGCGAAAGCCUGACGGAGCAAUGCCGCGUGAGUGAUGAAGGUUUUCGGAUCGUAAAGCUCUGUUGCCAGGGAAGAACGCUUAGGAGAGUAACUGCUCCUGAGGUGACGGUACCUGAGAAGAAAGCCCCGGCUAACUACGUGCCAGCAGCCGCGGUAAUACGUAGGGGGCAAGCGUUGUCCGGAAUUAUUGGGCGUAAAGCGCGCGCAGGCGGUCAUUUAAGUCUGGUGUUUAAUCCCGGGGCUCAACCCCGGAUCGCACUGGAAACUGGGUGACUUGAGUGCAGAAGAGGAGAGUGGAAUUCCACGUGUAGCGGUGAAAUGCGUAGAUAUGUGGAGGAACACCAGUGGCGAAGGCGACUCUCUGGGCUGUAACUGACGCUGAGGCGCGAA
rnacentral:rRNA from 1 species